rnacentral:rRNA from 1 species
GACGAACGCUGGCGGCGUGCUUAACACAUGCAAGUCGGACGGUAAGGCCCUUCGGGGUACACGAGUGGCGAACGGGUGAGUAACACGUGGGUGAUCUGCCCUGCACUUCGGGAUAAGCCUGGGAAACUGGGUCUAAUACCGGAUAGGACUCCUGGCUUCAUGGUUGGGGGUGGAAAGCUUUUGCGGUGUGGGAUGGGCCCGCGGCCCAUCAGCUUGUUGGUGGGGUAAUGGCCUACCAAGGCGACGACGGGUAGCCGGCCUGAGAGGGUGACCGGUCACACUGGGACUGAGAUACGGCCCAGACUCCUACGGGAGGCAGCAGUGGGGAAUAUUGCACAAUGGGCGCAAGCCUGAUGCAGCGACGCCGCGUGAGGGAUGACGGCCUUCGGGUUGUAAACCUCUUUCAGCUAUGACGAAGCGCAAGUGACGGUAGUAACAGAAGAAGGACCGGCCAACUACGUGCCAGCCGCCGCCGUAA